UGGGGAAUAUUGCACAAUGGGCGCAAGCCUGAUGCAGCCAUGCCGCGUGUGUGAAGAAGGCCUUCGGGUUGUAAAGCACUUUCAGCGAGGAGGAAGGUGGUGAACUUAAUACGUUCAUCAAUUGACGUUACUCGCAGAAGAAGCACCGGCUAACUCCGUGCCAGCAGCCGCGGUAAUACGGAGGGUGCAAGUGUUAAUCGGAAUUACUGGGCGUAAAGCGCACGCAGGCGGUUUGUUAAGUCAGAUGUGAAAUCCCCGGGCUCAACCUGGGAACUGCAUUUGAAACUGGCAAGCUAGAGUCUCGUAGAGGGGGGUAGAAUUCCAGGUGUAGCGGUGGAAUGCGUAGAGAUCUGGAGGAAUACCGGUGGCGAAGGCGGCCCCCUGGACGAAGACUGACGCUCAGGUGCGAAAAGCGUGGGGAGCAAACAGGAUUAGAUACCCUGGUAGUCCACGCUGUAAACGAUGUCGAUUUUGGAGGUUGUGCCCUUGAGGCGUGGCUUCCGGAGCUAACGCGUUAAAUCGACCGCCUGGGGAGUACGGCCGCAAGGUUAAAACUCAAAGGAAUUGACGGGGUAUAGCUGUUUCCU
rnacentral:rRNA from 1 species